rnacentral:rRNA from 1 species
AUUGAACGCUGGCGGCAUGCCUUACACAUGCAAGUCGAACGGCAGCACGGGAGCUUGCUCCUGGUGGCGAGUGGCGAACGGGUGAGUAAUGCAUCGGAACGUGCCCUGAAGUGGGGGAUAACGUAGCGAAAGUUACGCUAAUACCGCAUAUUCUGUGAGCAGGAAAGCAGGGGAUCUUCGGACCUUGCGCUUUUGGAGCGGCCGAUGUCGGAUUAGCUAGUUGGUGGGGUAAAGGCCACCAAGGCGACGAUCCGUAGCGGGUCUGAGAGGAUGAUCCGCCACACUGGAACUGAGACACGGUCCAGACUCCUACGGGAGGCAGCAGUGGGGAAUUUUGGACAAUGGGCGCAAGCCUGAUCCAGCCAUGCCGCGUGAGUGAAGAAGGCC